GAUGAACGCUGGCGGCGUGCCUAAUACAUGCAAGUCAAGCGAACGGACGAGAAGCUUGCUUUUCUGAUGUUAGCGGCGGACGGGUGAGUAACACGUGGAUAACCUACCUAUAAGACUGGGAUAACUUCGGGAAACCGGAGCUAAUACCGGAUAAUAUUUUGAACCGCAUGGUUCAAAAGUGAAAGACGGUCUUGCUGUCACUUAUAGAUGGAUCCGCGCUGCAUUAGCUAGUUGGUAAGGUAACGGCUUACCAAGGCAACGAUGCAUAGCCGACCUGAGAGGGUGAUCGGCCACACUGGAACUGAGACACGGUCCAGACGCCUACGGGAGGCAGCAGUAGGGAAUCUUCCGCAAUGGGCGAAAGCCUGACGGAGCAACGCCGCGUGAGUGAUGAAGGUCUUCGGAUCGUAAAACUCUGUUAUUAGGGAAGAACAUAUGUGUAAGUAACUGUGCACAUCUUGACGGUACCUAAUCAGAAAGCCACGGCUAACUACGUG
rnacentral:rRNA from 1 species